rnacentral:rRNA from 1 species
GACGAACGCUGGCGGCGUGCUUAACACAUGCAAGUCGAGCGGACCUUCGGGUCAGCGGCGAACGGGUGAGUAACACGUGGGCAACCUGCCCCAGGCUCUGGAAUAACUCCGGGAAACCGGGGCUAAUGCCGGAUAUUCACAUCAUCGGGCAUCUGGUGGUGUGGAAAGCUUUAUCGGUCUGGGAUGGGCCCGCGGCCUAUCAGCUUGUUGGUGGGGUGAUGGCCUACCAAGGCGACGACGGGUAGCCGGCCUGAGAGGGCGACCGGCCACACUGGGACUGAGACACGGCCCAGACUCCUACGGGAGGCAGCAGUGGGGAAUAUUGCGCAAUGGGCGGAAGCCUGACGCAGCGACGCCGCGUGAGGGAUGACGGCCUUCGGGUUGUAAACCUCUUUCAGCAGGGACGAAGCGUAAGUGACGGUACCUGCAGAAGAAGCACCGGCCAACUACGUGCCAGCAGCCGCCGUAAAAC